rnacentral:tRNA from 1 species
GGGCCGAUAGUCCAGCUUGGUUAGGACAUCGCGUUCACACCGCGAAGGUCGCCGGUUCAAGUCCGGCUCGGCCCACCA